UACGGUCAUUUCACAUUGAAGCGCCGGUUCUCAUACGAUCACAGAAGUUAAGCAACAUCGAGCCUGGUUAGUAGUAAGAUGGGUAACCGCUUGGGAAUACCAGUUGCUGUAGG